UGUAAUAUGUUUCUCACAAGUAAUGCAUCAAAGAUCUGUGCUGUAGAGCUCCAGCUCACAUUUAUAUCAGACCUGAGUCUGCAGAGAGAAGAUGGAGGAGCACAGGGUUCAUGUCAAAAGGAACAGGAGAAACUCUGGAAGUGUCUCUGAUUCACAGACUGCCACCGAACCAGGGAAAUGGAUUCUCCUGGUCUGCAUCAGCUUUGGUCUUCUGUGCAUCAUACAAGCUUCUCUCAAUGUUUAUUUACGUCUCUACCUUCCUCCAGACAUCGACAUGAGCCCAUGUGACAAUGUAACUGCUGAGAGGGACACACUUGAGAAACGUAAAUCUCUUUAACUUUUACUCUAAAUUUUUUUAUUAGCAAAACAAGAAUA